ACGACCUUACUUGAACAGGAUCUGUUCUAUAGGCUCGUACCUCUGUAUUAUUGAUUCAUAAGAAGACAGAAACCCAUGCCUGGAGUCAGUUU
rfam:Helianthus annuus linkage group 13, whole genome shotgun sequence.